AAUUGUCCAGCCUCCAAUGAAAUCCACACAGAAAAUAGACUGCAACUACUAGGGUUUCUCUCUUGUGCCAGCAAGAAUAAUUAAAAACUUAUGGACCUCAAACCCUAGCUAUGUAUAUAUAUAUAAACCCAAACGGACCCGGCAUGAGUUAAUAGGAUUAGCUCGCGCGUGCUUAUGGUGGGACUCUUGUACCCUUCUCUUUUGCCUCACUCUCUAUAACUAAGCACUCCGGUUGAGGGCACAAUUCUCUUGAAUCUGUGCUAAAAAGAAGUGGAAGAUGAGUGAUACUGGAUAUAGCGGUGGAUCAAGUCCGGAUAACGGCAACGGCAACGGCAACGGCGCUGAUAACAACCCAAAUCGUGGCCAGGGUAGGGGCCGUGCGACGUUUGCCGCCACCAAGAUGAAGCCGCCACAACGGGGAAAAGUUUUUAAAAAGAUCUUUGCUGAUUUGACUGGACAUCCUGCUUCUCAGCCUGCACCCAAUUGAGGUUCAAUUAGUGGUGGCUAAUAUGUAAAUAGUAUGUGGCUUUUGCUUGUGGUUCUACUCUUCUAGAGGACUUUCAUUGUUGCUCUGUUCGAUCCAGUUAUCAAUAAAUCUCAGUUCCUCUGUAUCUGUUAACUGCAUCUGUUGACAGUUAUGUGGCUUUUGCUUAUGGUAUUAGUCUUCUAAUGUGUGUUUGUCACCCAUUAUUUGGGAGAAUCUUUAUCUAACAGUGAUUGAUGUUGAAAUAUGUGGUUAAAAAAAAAAAGUUUUUGAUUUACCAUAAUAUUAUUUUAAUGAAGAAUAAGUGGCUUAAAAUGAGUAACGUGGGGAAAAUAAUAAGAGAAAAUGGAUCACAAACUGGGGCUUAAUGUUAAAUAUUAAUUAAUGACUGUAAUAUGAAUGAAUUCUU
rnacentral:lncRNA from 1 species